GAUGAACGCUGGCGGCGUGCCUAAUACAUGCAAGUCGAGCGAACGGACGAGAAGCUUGCUUCUCUGAUGUUAGCGGCGGACGGGUGAGUAACACGUAGAUAACCUACCUAUAAGACUGGGAUAACUUCGGGAAACCGGAGCUAAUACCGGAUAAUAUUUUGAACCGCAUGGUUCAAAAGUAAAAGACGGUUUUGCUGUCACUUAUAGAUGGAUCCGCGCUGCAUUAGCUAGUUGGUAAGGUAACGGCUUACCAAGGCAACGAUGCAUAGCCGACCUGAGAGGGUGAUCGGCCACACUGGAACUGAGACACGGUCCAGACUCCUACGGGAGGCAGCAGUAGGGAAUCUUCCGCAAUGGGCGAAAGCCUGACGGAGCAACGCCGCGUGAGUGAUGAAGGUCUUCGGAUCGUAAAACUCUGUUAUUAGGGAAGAACAUAUGUGUAAGUAACUGUGCACGUCUUGACGGUACCUAAUCAGAAAGCCACGGCUAACUACGUG
rnacentral:rRNA from 1 species